ACUGUUUAUGAUGGUCAUUUUUUGGUUCUGUUGAGACAAUCUAAUGAAUUAUAUUAAUUACUUUCUAUAUUUGUAUUAAGUGUAGUUGAGUCUGGGCAUUUCUUAUGAAGUUUGAACUGUGCCCUGCCAGGUGGCAGAAAAUUACAUUUUUUUCAGCAUUUUUAUAUUCACUGUCAGUAAUGGAGAAGUUGCAGGUUUUGCUUUCACAAUCAGUGAAGAUCCACAGCCACUUUGGACACCUGUACUUCCAAAAAGGGCAGCUGGGACUUCUCAGUGGGAAUACAUUAAAAAAUGGUGUAUGGCAUUUGACAUUUAAAUUAAGGCUGUUAAAUAAUACUUUUCUCCCAGGUGGCAAUUCUCUAUUACCUUGAUCUUACCUCCUUAAGGAACACCUCUUCUGCUUUUGAUUCCACUCUCCUCCCACCCUGAAGGUUUCCAUCUCUUGAGGUAAAUUCAAACCGAUGGUGAGUUGUGCUCAGGGAGUAAAAUCAGCAGCCUGGGUUAAAACUUAAAUAGAUCCCUCAGAUGAAAAUGGUGCAAAGACAGAAACUUGCCUUUAAGUAAGUGUCCUGUUCAGCACAGGUGACAUCCAGGACGAAUGUCUGGCCUCAGAAUUGGAUUACAGCUCUGGAAGCCUGAACCCCAAACAGCCUCUUGAAAUUUUAUCAGAUCAUUAAGAACAGUUAAGUUCCAUAGUUAAAGUUCUGUAUUAGAUUUUAAAGUUAUACAGCUAGGCUUCAGGAAAUUCUGCAUGAAACAUCAUGCUGGUCUGGUUCAAUUUUAUAUAACAAGCAACUUAACUUCAUGAGGUAACUGUCUUUUGGAUUAUAAGUAGCAGGGUAGUACUUUCAUUUAAAAUCUCAGUUUAAUCAGGUUGCAACUUUGCUGUAUUUGUAUUAUGCAUAAAAGUUCAGUGACAUUUUUGACAAAGCAUAUUUUCAAUUGCUUCAGUUCUCUUUUGUGAGAAGUAGUACAGUAAUAUUUGUCCUACUUUUGGGUACUUUUCAGUAUUCAUUUAAUAGUGAGAAAUAAUUGCAAAACCUCUGGUGUGGAAAAUGAAAUUCCAGAGAUGCUUACAUGGGGUAAAAACUGCUUUUUAAAUACUUGUAAUAUUUAUGAAGUGAUUUUUAUGAAGAUUUUGUAGCUGCUAGUUUCAGGAACUAAAUCACCAUUGAUUUUGUUUGUAGAAUGCCUGAUGUUAUCCAUGCAGAUGCAUUGCUUGAUAUUUAACUACACAAUAAAGGAACGAUCCCAGAAAUCUGCACCACCAGUGGACACUGUGAGAGGUAUCCAGACUAUUCUUGGAAGGUUUACCUGAGACUGCAGGAUCGUGCUGCUGCUUGCACUAAAUUAGUAGCUUGUGAUGGCAGAGAUGAAGAGACUCCAUCUUUUUUCUUCCCACUCUGUGGCAGUAUCUUCCUCUUUUUCAGAAGCACUUCAGAGCAGCUACGCUAUAUCAGGUGCUUUGAAUCACCUUCCAGAGAUUCACUUCUCCCUUCACUGACUCUAAAAGCAACAGUGUGCUCAGCUUCCCCAGGUACCACUCUUAGUUAUAUUACAGAGGCAAAGGAUUGAAUGAUUGUGGAGGCUCAAUUGUCUUAAUUAUGCCUGUGUGUGGUCAAUCCACAUCUGAAAAAAUCAAUACAAAGUCUUGCACAGCUCUUUUCUGGACUGUAGAUGGUGUUAAGAUGAGAGAUUGUCAGUCUCCAUCAGCAUCAUCUCACGGAGUAAGAACUUUCAUGUAAUAAAUAUAGUUGGAAUCCAUUUUACGCAGCUGGAUUUUUUCUUCUUUUUAAUAUGCACUAUGUAUUAUUAUAGACAUGUUGCAAUAACUGCUAAAAAAAACUAAAAAUAACUAUUAAAAAAUACAAAUACAUGACGUGCAUCUCUGUCCUGAAAACAGGUGUCCAGUUUUUUAAAGAAUUUACGUCCUAAGAUGCCACAGCCUGUUUGGAUACAUCAGUAACUUUAUACAUGCUUGUUUCUUGUUGGGAAAUCAUGAGCGUGGUUUUGUAGAGGAGCAUGCAAGAAAGAAGUCUGAAGAGGGAAGCUGUUAGGUGAAGUCUGAAAGGCAGGAGUGAGUUUGCUGCGAUUGACUUCUAUGGUGAUAUAGAGCUAGGAAAAUGGUAUUUUGGGUUGAUAGGAUUGC